GGUGGGCUGACGGGAAGGAGGUCAGCCUCUCCUCGGGCGACAUGGUAUUUUUCUGGAGAAGCAAACCCCAUAAGCAUUAUGGCAGGCAUUUCUGUGAUGGUCAGCCUCUUCAGGCCACCACCUAUCCAUGAGCAGCAUGGGAGGAAGAGGAAGGAGAAGUGAUCACUGCAACAGGAGGUGUAUGAGACCCUGACGGCAUCAGCGGCUUUUUACCGACUUUCCGUGACAGAACCAUCAGUCAUGCCGCGGAUGGAAGGGGUCUUCAGGAAGGAGAAUCAGAGGCCGCUUUAUCGUCCACCAGCUCCCCAGAAGAGCUCGGAAGCAUCGUGCAAUUAGUUGUUGACGAGGAUUCUGUCACCGCAAAGAGAUUGACAAGGGUUCAUUGAGCCUUCAUUUGUGGCAUCAAUUAAAUGAAAGAAAUGACACUUUCGGUGCGUCUCCCUCUCCAGUUAGAGGGAAAGUGUUAACACAGUGACUGGCUGUUGCUGCACUUGUUCUGUCAGUUAUGGAUGAUUUUUAAUCCGAGGUUGUAAGAAAUUUAUGUUGUUCUGUAGGAAGCAACCCUGAGAACCUUCUGUUCAGCUAGAAAGUGGUCCUGGAUUCAA